rfam:Zea mays cultivar B73 chromosome 7, whole genome shotgun sequence.
GCAGUUCCGGCGGGGGCGGACUGGGAACACAUGGGAAUGAGAUGAGAUCAUUGCUCGGUCGUGCUGGCCUGGGCCGUCGGCGCGCGUUGAUCUUGCAUGUGUUCUCAGGUCGCCCCCGGAGGGCCUUC